rnacentral:rRNA from 1 species
CACGUAGGGGGCAAGCGUUGUCCGGAUUUAUUGGGCGUAAAGAGCUCGUAGGCGGUUUGUCGCGUCUGCUGUGAAAACCUAAGGCUCAACCUUGGGCUUGCAGUGGGUACGGGCAGACUAGAGUGCGGUAGGGGUGACUGGAAUUCCUGGUGUAGCGGUGGAAUGCGCAGAUAUCAGGAGGAACACCGAUGGCGAAGGCAGGUCACUGGGCCGCAACUGACGCUGAGGAGCGAAAGCAUGGGGAGCGAACAGG